GACGAACGCUGGCGGCGUGCUUAACACAUGCAAGUCGAGCGGUAAGGCCCUUUCGGGGGUACACGAGCGGCGAACGGGUGAGUAACACGUGGGUGACCUGCCCUUAGCUCUGGGAUAAGCCUGGGAAACUGGGUCUAAUACCGGAUAUGACUCCAUGACGCAUGUUGUGGGGUGGAAAGCCUUGUGCGGCUAGGGGAUGGGCCCGCGGCCUAUCAGCUUGUUGGUGGGGUGAUGGCCUACCAAGGCGACGACGGGUAGCCGGCCUGAGAGGGCGACCGCCACACUGGGACUGAGACACGGCCCAGACUCCUACGGGAGGGCAGCAGUGGGGAAUCUUGCGCAAUGGGCGAAAGCCUGACGCAGCGACGCCGCGUGAGGGAUGAC
rnacentral:rRNA from 1 species